UGAGAACUAAUUUGCUAUUCGGUGACAUAAGAGGGGGAGUGCGCUGCGCUUUCCCGGGGUCUGGGGCGCCUUCCUCCUCUCUUACCCAUAAACUCCGCUCCUCGAGCUAAACACACAAAAGGGAGCGAAGAGGUUCGGCCCGUUGGAAAAAGUCUGUUAUAUAUAGUAGCUUUAGAGGCGAGUAAGAGGGGGGAGAAAAAAAAAAAAAGAAAAAAAAAAAAAAACAAUAAACCCCACAGCUCCUUCCAGCUAGAAUAUUAGGCACCACGAGAAAAAUAUUUGCCAAGCAGUUUUCGCUUAUCAUGGAAAGAGGAGAUAGGAUGGGCAGCCCUGCAAAAGAGCCCUUUGCUGUGGCCUUAUAUUCAGAGAAGACUUCAAAUUUGGACUUUUGAUUUGCUCUCCACUGAGGUUCUGCUUCAGUCUUAAUGGUACACGGACAGGAUGGAAACAAGACCUUCACACACAAGCUUUGUGUGCAGUACCCACCGUAGGACCUAAUGUAGAAGCCCUCACACUCUCCCACAGUGCUAUGAUUUCAUAGUUUCUGAAUCUAGAAUUAUCUUAUGAAUCAUGCAAUUUUAUUGUAAUUGUGUGUAUGUUGGUAUUUAAAAUGUGAAGUUUUAAAUAUAUUUGGCCUAGAAGCAACGAUACCAUAGUAGCAAUGAACACACCUAGUGCCCAGAUUAUACCGUAAAAGAAGGAUUUGCUAAAAAGAAGAAGGAGGAGGAGGAGAAGAAGAAGAAAAGAAACCAAACAAAUACACAAAAGAUCCCUACAUCGACCGGGGGGGAUAUUUCAGAGAUACUAGGGCUACCUGAAGAGCUCCCAAUGGUCAAAGCUACAAAUUUGAGCAACAAUAUAGACUAAUAUUAGAUUAUAACCAAAAGUAUAAAAUAAACGGCAACAAUUUUACACAGAUAAAAAUAAAUUAUGGGAAAAAUUAAUAAAUGGAAGAGACAAAUUUCUCAUGCAGAAGAAUUCCAAAUAAUCUAUGUAGCCACUCUCCCCUGAAGGAGGGAGAGUAUAAUUCUCUUCUCCUUAAAUGUGAGCUGGGCAUAGUCACUUCUUUCUAAAGAGUAUGGUAUGGGAAGGGGAGUGGGGGAGGUAAUUUUACAUGGAGAAACCAGACUAACACUACAUCAGCCACAAUAUCAAGGUCAACAUCAACAAUGAUAAACCAAAAACAAAGAAACAAACAAACAAAUGAUGAUAAACCAUGUUGAUUGUAUGUACCUUUGAUAUAAGGUGGUGAAAUCAUUCUUUACCUCUGUAGUCUUCCUCCCAUACCUCAGUCUGUUUCUGAGAAAAACAUUAGACACACCCUAGUAGAGGGGCAUCCUACAAAAUGCUUGACCAGAAUUACUCAAAACCGUCAAGGUUAUCAAAAACAAGGAAAGUCUGAUGAGCUGCCACAGCCAAGAAUAACUCAAGAAGACAUGAUAACUUAAUGUAAAGUAGUAUUUAGCCAAAAAAGAAAGUAAAUCUAAACAAAUAUGAAUAUAUGAUGGACUUUAGUUAAUAA